UUCACUACCACCACCCAAACCGCUACCACCUCUACCACCACUGCCACCGCCACCAGCAGGGGCAGCAGCUUCAGUUUCUACUGAAAUGGACACCCUUGAGAAAAUGAACCGCUGCAUGUAUUACUGGAUCUAUGACUAUCAUGAUGGGCCGGGUGUCUUGGACCACUUCCUUCAACUCUGAGGAUCCAGGUCCGUGAGUAUUACAGAUCUGACGACAUUCCUGGACCCUGUGACUCUCCAGCAGGCACUCCAGUGCCCCACCUGUACUUCCUGUUUCCUUCCGAGAAACAGUUACGGUGAGUACUUCAGGGGUAGCAGGAAUAUGAAGAAACUCGAGGACCCUGGUAAGUGUGUAAGGGGGAAGACUGGGUGGGUCAGGAGGGCGUGCAGGAGUCAAGCAUGGGGACUAGGUGAGUGAGGCAGUCUCUCGCCUUUCCUUCUCCCCCUUGCACAGCUCAUUGGUUCCGCUAGCUGAAGUAUACCAAACACGACAUCAUUGACUUCCUCGGUGCCUUGCCCCAAACCCAGCAGGACCUUUCGUGGAGUAUAUAUGUGUGCAGGGAGUAAGCACCUGCUUCUUCCUCCCUGAGGCAGGCCCACAGAGCGGAGGUCGGGUGGAGGCUUAGGGGGAGCCCAGAAGCCUGAGCCGUUCUUCUCUUUCAGGAAAAGAUGGUCUGCUUUUCUGUCACUGGAACUUUCACGGAGGGGAGUGUCUGUAGUAGGGUCCCUUCUAUGUGCCCCCACUGCCCCCUCUCAGAGCUCUCCUGGCUUCCCUCAUUCCUCUUCUUCCUGCUCUUCCUGUGUUGUCCCGCUCACUCCCACCAAGCCCCUCACCCUCCCUUGUCUGACCUAUAGCCUGUCCCACCACAGAGCAGGACUUAGGGACACAGGCCAUAGAGCUGAUGGCUCUCAUCCUCUCCCCUCUCUCUGCCACCCUAGGGCACUUGCUUAAACUCUUGGCCUCCUACUGUGCAAAAUGAAGCUGGUAAUAUCUCUCGUUAGGUCAGCUGUGAGAAACUGAAGCAAAUGAACGUGUCACAGGGGCUAACACAGAGUCGGGGCCGUAUCACUGUGAGGGGUUGCCUUCUCCACUGCUAAAGCUUCCCCCUAAACUCCCAGUGAACAGUUGUCCCCACCUGUCUUCUCCCCGAUGCUGUGGGACAAGAAGACCCUGAACCUGUGGAGGGAUGGAGGGGCGGGGGGGACGACUGCAGGUGUGUGUGUACGAAGGGGCAACUCUGAGGGAUAUUGCUGCUUGUUGUCCUUGCAGUGGAUGCAGCGUGUCAGGCCCAUGCCAGUGGCUUCAUGCGAACCUCCAUCGCUGUUCCUACUAAUGACUUCAGGGACUGCACUUCUCUCAAGAGACUGUGACUGCUUCCAAGGAGUGAAUAAUUCUAAACAAAAAAAUCAAAUCUUUGUAAAUGAGGCGCCAUGGCCGCGUGGUUCGGAGACGGCUCCGGCUUUCCUCCAGAGCCCCCCUCGACCCCAGACUCCCACCUGCAGACUUCAGACCGAGAAAUCUCCCGUGAGCACAGUGGUGACAAGUCCCUGGCUGCAGGCUGC